rnacentral:rRNA from 1 species
UACGUAGGGGGCGAGCGUUGUCCGGAUUUAUUGGGCGUAAAGAGCUCGUAGGCGGCUCAGUGAGUCGGGUGUGAAAUCUCCAGGCUUAACCUGGAGAGGCCAUUCGAUACUGCUGUGGCUAGAGUCCGGUAGAGGAGCAUGGAAUUCCCGGUGUAGCGGUGAAAUGCGCAGUUAUCGGGAGGAACACCAGUAGCGAAGGCGGUGCUCUGGGCCGGUACUGACGCUGAGGAGCGAAAGCGUGGGGAGCGAACAGG